UACGUAGGGGGCGAGCGUUGUCCGGAUUUACUGGGCGUAAAGAGCGCGCAGGCGGUCGUUCAAGUCGCGUGUGAAAGCCCCCGGCUCAACUGGGGAGGGUCACGCGAUACUGAUUGACUCGAAGGCAGGAGAGGGUAGUGGAAUUCCCGGUGUAGUGGUGAAAUGCGUAGAUAUCGGGAGGAACACCAGUGGCGAAGGCGACUACCUGGCCUGUUCUUGACGCUGAGGCGCGAAAGCUAGGGGAGCAAACGGG
rnacentral:rRNA from 1 species